UGCCAGCCGCCGCGGUAAUACGGAGGGGGUUAGCGUUAUCCGGAAUCAUUGGGUUUAAAGGGUCCGUAGGCGGGCUAUUAAGUCAGAGGUGAAAGUUUGCGGCUCAACCGUAAAAUUGCCUUUGAUACUGGUAGUCUUGAAUUAUUAUGAAGUGGUUAGAAUAAGUAGUGUAGCGGUGAAAUGCAUAGAUAUUACUUAGAAUACCAAUUGCGAAGGCAGAUCACUAACAACGUAUUGACGCUGAGGGACGAAAGCGUGGGGAGCAAACAGGAUUAGAUA
rnacentral:rRNA from 1 species